CUCCCCUCAAGCCCUGCUUGGUCUUGGGCCCCGCUAGUCAUGGCCGGCCCUAAAUCCAGUGGGCCUCGUCCCGAGGAACCUAGGUGUGGUUUGUCCUCCGCCUCAGGCCCUCGCGGCUAGUGCCCAGCCCAACCAACCCCUCUGU
rnacentral:misc_RNA from 1 species